AUUGAACGCUGGCGGCAUGCUUUACACAUGCAAGUCGAAUGGUAACAGGUUAAGCUGACGAGUGGCGAACGGGUGAGUAAUGCAUCGGAACGUGCCCGGUCGUGGGGGAUAACACUUCGAAAGAAGUGCUAAUACCGCGUACGAUCUGAGGAUGAAAGCGGGGGACCGUAAGGCCUCGCGCGAUCGGAGCGGCCGAUGUCAGAUUGGGUAGUUGGUGGGGUAAAGGCCCACCAAGCCGACGAUCUGUAGCUGGUCUGAGAGGACGACCAGCCACACUGGGACUGGGACACGGCCCAGACUCCUACGGGAGGCAGCAGUGGGGAAUUUUUGACAAUGGGCGCAAGCCUGAUCCAGCAAUGCCGCGUGCAGGAAGAAGGCCUUCGGGUUGUAAACUGCUUUUGUACGGAGCGAAAAGGCUCUCUCUAAUACAGGGGGGCUGAUGACGGUACCGUAAGAAUAAGCACCGGCUAACUACGUGCCAGCAGCCGCAGUAA
rnacentral:rRNA from 1 species